GUUUAAUUAGCUCAGUAGGGAGAGCACGGGACUACGGCCCAUUAAAAGUUGAUAUCCCGGGGCCAUAGGUUCGAUUCCUAUAUUAAACG
rfam:Naegleria gruberi genomic scaffold NAEGRscaffold_50, whole genome shotgun sequence.